GUACUAACCUGGCAGGGGAGAUACCUUGGCCAUGAAGGUAGUUUUCCAGGAAAGGCCUUAUCCAUUGCACUCAAGACGCGCUGACCCCUGUGAUUUCCCUGCAUGGGGGAAACGCNACUGCAUGCUUUAUGGUAGUGGGGGAUUGCAUUCGCACUAUUCUCCA
rnacentral:snRNA from 1 species